rnacentral:rRNA from 1 species
UACGUAGGGCUCUAGCGUUAUCCGGAAUUACUGGGCGUAAGGGGUGCGUAGGUGGUUUUUUAAGUCAGAAGUGAAAGGCUACGGCUCAACCGUAGUAAGCUUUUGAAACUAGAGAACUUGAGUGCAGGAGAGGAGAGUAGAAUUCCUAGUGUAGCGGUGAAAUGCGUAGAUAUUAGGAGGAAUACCAGUAGCGAAGGCGGCUCUCUGGACUGUAACUGACACUGAGGCACGAAAGCGUGGGGAGCAAACAGG